rnacentral:rRNA from 1 species
CAGUAGCCGCGGUAAUACGGAGGGAGCUAGCGUUGUUCGGAAUUACUGGGCGUAAAGCGCACGUAGGCGGUUGUUCAAGUCAGAGGUGAAAGCCCGGGGCUCAACCCCGGAACUGCCUUUGAAACUAGAUGACUGGAAUCUUGGAGAGGUCAGUGGAAUUCCGAGUGUAGAGGUGAAAUUCGUAGAUAUUCGGAAGAACACCAGUGGCGAAGGCGACUGACUGGACAAGUAUUGACGCUGAGGUGCGAAAGCGUGGGGAGCGAACAGGAUUAGAUACCCGCGUAGUCCCUGUCUCUUAUAC